rnacentral:rRNA from 1 species
UACGUAGGGUGCAAGCGUUGUCCGGAAUUAUUGGGCGUAAAGAGCUCGUAGGCGGUCAGUCGCGUCUGCUGUGAAAACUCGGGGCUUAACCCCGGGCCUGCAGUGGGUACGGGCUGACUAGAGUGCGGUAGGGGAGACUGGAAUUCCUGGUGUAGCGGUGAAAUGCGCAGAUAUCAGGAGGAACACCGGUGGCGAAGGCGGGUCUCUGGGCCGAUAUUGACGCUGAGGAGCGAAAGCGUGGGGAGCGAACAGG